rnacentral:rRNA from 1 species
GACGAACGCUGGCGGCGUGCUUAACACAUGCGAGUCGAACGGACAGGCCCUGCUUUUGUGGGGUGCUCGAGUGGCGAACGGGUGAGUAACACGUGAGUAACCUGCCCUUGUCUUUGGGAUAACUUCAGGAAACUGGGGAUCAUACCGGAUAGGAGCUCCUGCUGCACGGUGGGGGUUGGAAAGUUUCGGCGGUUGGGGAUGGACUCGCGGCUUAUCAGCUUGUUGGUGGGGUAGUGGCUUACCAAGGCUUUGACGGGUAGCCGGCCUGAGAGGGUGAACGGCCACAUUGGGACUGCGAUACGGCCCAGACGGCUACGGGAGGCAGCAGUGGGGAAUAUUGCGCAAUGGGCGGGAGCGUGUGGCGGCAACGCCGCGUGCGGGAUGACGGCCUACGGGGGGUAAACCGCUUUCGCCGGUGACGAAGCGUGAGUGACGGUAAUGGGUAAAAAAGCACCGGCUAACUACGUG